rnacentral:rRNA from 1 species
AUUGAACGCUGGCGGCAGGCCUAACACAUGCAAGUCGAACGAGUGGCGGACGGGAGAGUAAUGUCUGGGAAACUGCCUGAUGGAGGGGGAUCACUAAUGGAAACGGUAGCUAAUACCGCAUACCAUCAGAUGUGCCCAGAUGGGAUUAGCUUGUUGGAGGGGUAACGUCUCACCAAGGCGAAGAUCUAUAGCUGGUCUGAGAGGAUGAACAGAAACACUGGAACUGAGACACGGUCCAGACUCCUACGGGAGGCAGCAGUGGGGAAUAUUGCACAAUGGGCGCAAGCCUGAUGCAGCCAUGCCGCGUGUAUGAAGAAGGCCUUCGGGUUGUAAAGUACUUUCAGCGGGGAGGCGUUACCCGCAGAAGAAGCACCGGCUAACUCCGUGCCAGCCGCCGCGGUAAUUC